UCUUUUCAUACUCAGAUAUCCAAUAUUAGCCAUUAGUUAGACACUUUGUAUACCAAAGUUUAGAAACAAUAUUACUCUUAGGCAUUUUAUCGAGCACGUUAUGUGCACACAUUAACUUAUCUCAACUCUUGAUCUUAAAUGGUUAAUUAUACAUAGAAUAUGAUAACACAUAUCUAUACUUAUUACAUAUGUCAAAACAUAUUUUUAAUCAUCAAAAUAUACCAUCACCCAAAAUCUUAAUUAUAAAACUCAUCUUCACAAUUUCUUUAACAAAACGUUGUUUUCGUUUUUAACGUAACUCCUUCGUUACAUGUCCGUUUUUGUUCCUUCUUAUAUAGAAAUAACCCUUACUCAAUGUACUACAACUUCAUCUAGGCCUUAAAGUCAUACCCUUAUCCAUCUAAACCAGAUUUUGCAAUUCAUCAACUAGUCUAGAAAAUUUUAUUUUCUGGACAUCCUUACUGAACAAUUUAUUUCAGACAUGAUCCGGCCCAUAAAAUGGCUCAAUCUUGCGAGUCUGGCUAGUAAACAUCCAUAUCUACAACUUUUCAGUUUAAAGUUUCUUCAUUUUCAAAACACACAAAUUUAUAUGAAUUGUUCAAAGUCAGAAACCAUAACAGUUUUGAUUUUCUAGGCAGAUUAUUUUCCCUUCGGACCAGCCUUACUAAAACAGACAUUGCAAGAAAUCUACAAAGAGUUUCAUGUGAUUCCACUUUCAGAAUAUAGCUUACUUCCAUAUUUCGAUUUGAUAUAAGACUCACUUUCUAACUCAUUAUACCCAAAGAGGUAUGAAUUUCAUAAGAUCUGUCCACAAUUACUCAAAACUUACGAAUUUUGUUCUUCAAAUUUUCUUUCCAUUUAAUUUUCUUUCUUGAAUCCUCUUGUUUGAUUCUUGAUAAUCCAAGAUUAAACCAAUACAAACAGGAUUAAGCAUGAUCUACUACCCUAGAACAUAAAUCUACCCAAAAAAAUCAAAGAUUAAAUAAGAGUUUAGAAGUUACCUUCUUCUAGCUUUUUCUUCUUCUUCUUCUAGCUCAUCUCAAUUCCUCUAUUUAUCUCUAUCUCUCUCUAUUUCUCUAUUUCUCUCUUCCACCAAGACUCUUGCUAUAAACAAAAACUCUAGAAUUUCUUCUUGUGUAACUCCUCAUUUGGGUAAUAGUUUUGUUAAUAAUUAAUAUAAUAGUAACCCCCACUAAUAACAUAAGGCUUAUGUUACAAAUCUCUUACAUGCAUGAUCAAUAUCACAUUAAGACAUCUUUGUAGCAUAACCUCACUUUUCCAUCAUUAGUUAAGCAAUCCAAUGGUUAGGCUAUUCAUUAUAUACUAUUAUUACUUUACUAUGACAUAAAACAUAUUUCUAAUGUCACACUUAAAUAAUUUAAAAUUAUUUUAUUAGUACAAUCAAUUAAACUUUAAUAAUAAAAUGCACAUCAAUUAUAAAAUUAUCUAUCAAAUUAUAACGCUUAAUUAAAUUAAGUCAUAACAACCAACAUCAAAUAUUUAUUAUUCAAUAAAUAAAUCAACUAAAAAAUUUAUCUAACUCAAAUAAAUAUUUUAAUUAAUUAUAAAAAUUACAUUCGUUACAGUUGCGCUAUCAAUGUAUAUGUGGCGAAAUGGUGAUUCUUUUCUCAUGGGUAUGUUUGAUAGUUAGAAACUACUAAGAUUAGUGAGAUUAUAUUAGGAUUAGGCGCGGUUCUUAAAACUAAUGCAUAUGGUAAGUUCGUGACUCAUAAUAAUAUGGUAUGUUUUGAACCCCUCAGCGAAUGGACGUCUAUGGUCUGACUAGGAUAAAUUCUUAAACUCAUAUUAUUGUGGCAAGUUUUUGAACUUCUAAUGUGCGGUAAGUUAGAUGAACUGGAGUAUAAUUAAGUGUGAAUGGAGUAUUGAGGAUGAUAGGAAUAGAUAGACCUAUUAAGCAACGGAUCAGUAUAGAAAGUGGAGACAUAAGUUUUUCCAAAUCUUCUAGCUAUGCUAGAAUUCAAAGUUUUUGACAUCAAGCUAAAUUCGCACUAUGUGCCUUUUUAAAAUGAAUUUUUACUCUCAACGCAUGGUGACAAAUGUGUAUGUGUGGACUUCAGGACACUGACACAUCGUUACCUGUUGAGAUAUGAUAUCACUAAAACUGAUUUUUAAAGAUUUUUGAACCGUUUAAAGAAUAGUCUAUGCUAAUUGUUUCGGCUAGACGAAAAAGAUUUGAAAAUAUCAAAAUGUAUUUUAUAUCAUUAAUGCAUCAUGGAACCUGGUGCAAAGAUGAUAAAAACGAUGGAGUUGUCAAUGCAGAAUUUCUUAGUGUUGGAUGUGAUCUAAGGAUCGUCAGCCCACUAUGGUAUGAUGGAGUAUGACAAAGUCACAAAAUGACGGAAUCCUCAAACGGACUGUAAAUACAGUGCGGUAUCAUGACGUCAUAAAAAGAUUUUUGAGAUCUUUUUUUUGAUAUGGGAAUAUAUAUAUAUAUAUAUAUAUGUGUAUAUGUAUAUUUCGAUUGAUGUCUGAAUUGUUGUAGAAGUCUAUGCUUUUUGAUUCAGCUAGACGAUUAUUGAAAGAUGAUCAUGAAAUUUAAACGCUCAUUUAAAAGUUAUGCCAAACCAAAUUGUUUUGGUGCGGAUUUAGAUGUUGAAAAGUUGAGGUGAACAACCCUAUAAGGGGACAUGUUUUUGGGGACAAUGGUUCCGAGCGUAACGCAUAUAGUCGUUACAAAACACUGCGUUGCGGCCCAACGUAGUGGUACAAUAGGCUGGCCACCUAGUGUACGUGAGGAGGAUGUUUUCAGUCUUUGUGAUUGAUAAACACUCUGAUUUGCAGUGUGAAGGAUUGAGUUGAAGCACUAGUAAACUGAGAAUAGAGUUCACGGUCUUGUGACCCCUCCGCAUGAUUUGGAAUCUUUUAAAUACGUGUUAUUCAUAUCGCUUCCCAAUUAUUGAGCAAUUGUGGAAGAUUAUUGUUAUUCAAGAAAGAAAUAAAAUUUCAGAAAAGAAGAAAUAUGUGAAACUCUUAGAUGAUGAAGAGGUGAUGAAUAUGGUGAUCUUAG
rnacentral:lncRNA from 1 species